rnacentral:rRNA from 1 species
GUUUCGGCUAAGCCAUGCGAGUCUAGGGAUCGCAAGAUACCGGCAUACUGCUCAGUAACACGCGGAUAAUCUGCCCCCAGGUGAAGAAUACCCUCGGGAAACUGAGGCUAAUACUUCAUAAUCACUAUAUGCUGGAAUGCUUUGGUGAUGAAAGAAUUUCGCCUGAGGAUGAGUCUGCGGCCUAUCAGGUCGUAUGUGGUGUAAUGGACCACAUAGCCUAAGACGGGUACGGGCCUUGAAAGAGGGAGCCCGGAGAUGGACUCUGAGACAUUAGUCCAGGCCCUACGGGGCGCAGCAGGCGCGAAAACUGUGCAAUGCGCGAAAGCGCGACACGGGAAGCCUGAGUGCCUUAACACAGUUAAGGCUUUUCUCAAGCCUAAAAAGCUUGAGGAA